AGGCUCAGGACGAACGCUGGCGGCGUGCUUAACACAUGCAAGUCGAGCGGUAAGGCCUUUCGGGGUACACGAGCGGCGAACGGGUGAGUAACACGUGGGUGAUCUGCCCUGCACUCUGGGAUAAGCCCGGGAAACUGGGUCUAAUACCGGAUAUGACUGUCCCAUGCAUGUGGGGUGGUGGAAAGAUUUAUCGGUGCAGGAUGGGCCCGCGGCCUAUCAGCUUGUUGGUGGGGUAAUGGCCUACCAAGGCGACGACGGGUAGCCGACCUGAGAGGGUGACCGGCCACACUGGGACUGAGACACGGCCCAGACUCCUACGGGAGGCAGCAGUGGGGAAUAUUGCACAAUGGGCGGAAGCCUGAUGCAGCGACGCCGCGUGAGGGAUGAAGGCCUUCGGGUUGUAAACCUCUUUCAGCAGGGACGAAGCGUGAGUGACGGUACCUGCAGAAGAAGCACCGGCUAACUACGUGCCAGCAGCCGCGGUAAUACGUAGGGUGCGAGCGUUGUCCGGAAUUACUGGGCGUAAAGAGUUCGUAGGCGGUUUGUCGCGUCGUUUGUGAAAACCCGGGGCUCAACUUCGGGCUUGCAGGCGAUACGGGCAGACUUGAGUGUUUCAGGGGAGACUGGAAUUCCUGGUGUAGCGGUGAAAUGCGCAGAUAUCAGGAGGAACACCGGUGGCGAAGGCGGGUCUCUGGGAAACAACUGACGCUG
rnacentral:rRNA from 2 species